rnacentral:rRNA from 1 species
UGAACGCUGGCGGCGUGCCUCAUACAUGCAAGUCGAGCGAACGGACGCGAAGCUUGCUUCUCUGAUGUUAGCGGCGGACGGGUGAGUAACACGUGGAUAACCUACCUAUAAGACUGGGAUAACUUCGGGAAACCGGAGCUAAUACCGGAUAAUAUUUUGAACCGCAUGGUUCAAAAGUGAAAGACGGUCUUGCUGUCACUUAUAGAUGGAUCCGCGCUGCAUUAGCUAGUUGGUAAGGUAACGGCUUACCAAGGCAACGAUGCAUAGCCGACCUGAGAGGGUGAUCGGCCACACUGGAACUGAGACACGGUCCAGACUCCUACGGGAGGCAGCAGUAGGGAAUCUUCCGCAAUGGGCGAAAGCCUGACGGAGCAACGCCGCGUGAGUGAUGAAGGUCUUCGGAUCGUAAAACUCUGUUAUUAGGGAAGAACAUAUGUGUAAGUAACUGUGCACAUCUUGACGGUACCUAAUCAGAAAGCCACGGCUAACUACGUG